rnacentral:rRNA from 1 species
GAUGAACGCUGGCGGCGUGCCUAAUACAUGCAAGUCGAGCGAACAGACGAGGAGCUUGCUCCUCUGACGUUAGCGGCGGACGGGUGAGUAACACGUGGAUAACCUACCUAUAAGACUGGGAUAACUUCGGGAAACCGGAGCUAAUACCGGAUAAUAUAUUGAACCGCAUGGUUCAAUAGUGAAAGACGGUUUUGCUGUCACUUAUAGAUGGAUCCGCGCCGCAUUAGCUAGUUGGUAAGGUAACGGCUUACCAAGGCAACGAUGCGUAGCCGACCUGAGAGGGUGAUCGGCCACACUGGAACUGAGACACGGUCCAGACUCCUACGGGAGGCACCAGUAGGGAAUCUUCCGCAAUGGGCGAAAGCCUGACGGAGCAACGCCGCGGGAGUGAUGAAGGUCUUCGGAUCGUAAAACUCUGUUAUUAGGGAAGAACAAAUGUGUAAGUAACUAUGCACGUCUUGACGGUACCUAAUCAGAAAGCCACGGCUAACUACGUG